AAGAGUAUACUUCACAGGAUCAUCUCUGUAGUCAGUUUUCAUUUACUCUCAUUGCAAAUCGAAAGUAUUAACACCCGCGAUGAGGAAGGUAUAUCGUUUUAUCUGACAGCGUGAGGUUUAUGAACUUCAUUUCUAAUUUUGUCUUGUGGCAUAUUAGAAAUGAUGUUUCUACGAUGAUCGCUCGGUUACAAGGGAUAAAACGACUUCUGAGAGGU